GAGAAAUGUUUUUGCAUGCUGCUUUUAAAUAUAUCAGUGGCGAUAUCUCAUAACAUGUUUUAAUAGUCACGUCACGAUAAAGUAAAUGAUCAAUGUCCACAUUUAAAAGCUGCGGUGCUUACCUGCAGUUCCACUGUGUUUUCGCGUUCUGAUAAGAAAUAUAGCUCCAGUAAAAAACGAGUGUUUAUAUUCCUCUUUCCAAGUGUUAAUCGUCCACACGAUGUGACAAGAGAUUUCUCCCAUUAACUUUAACGUAACAUCCAAGAGCGCUGAUCUUUGACCGAAUAAUAACUUCCGAUUGGGGAUUCACAGACUGAUUUAAGAGCUAGUAAACUAAUGAGACACACGGAGAGUGAUUCAAAACAGCGCGUCUGUGUUUUUCCAUUCAGAGAUGAGCCUGCUUAGGACCUCCAUUCACUAGGUGGCGGAAUGAUACGAAAGGUGAAGCGGUUACAGUGCCGUAAUCAGUACAAUAUCGCAUAGCUCUUAGCCAAUCAGAUUCGAGAACCAGAAAGAACUGUUGUAUAAAUAUAUAUAUACACUCUAAAAAUGGCUGGGUUAUUUUUUAACCCAAAAUGCUGGGUUGAGUCUGUUGGGUUGUUUUGCUGGGUUAUUUUUUUUACAUUUUAAACACUUUUUGGGUAGUUUCAGUUUUCUAGGUGUUGGGUUAAAACUGCUGGGUUAUUAUGUUGGGUUGUUUGAAGAGGCUCACGUGCUUUGCGCCCUUGAUGUUUGAAUGUGCUCAGCAAUGGUCGUCGUGAAAGGACAGAGUCACUGAAGCAGUUGUUUCAAGAGUGUGCAGAGUUUAAACGUCCAUCCAUUGAUGAGGCUAGCAAGACCUUCAAACAACUUCAGCCAAUUGCAACAAAUGUGGUGGAAUUUCUUCUCUGGACAGAAUCCUCGAAACCCUUUCCUUUCGUCCUGGCCAUGGGAAACAUGCAGCAGAUCUCUCAAUCUUUUUUCUCAAUCAGUCUCUCUGAAUACGGAAGUGACUUAAACUGCAAUUCGGCCAAGAUGGCGAUGGCACGCACCACCUACUUUAAGCUUCAAAAAUGCUCUUCACAAACCAAUGGGUGACGUCACAGACACUACUUGCAUAUUUUUUACAUUCUCUGGUUUAAAGGCAUUUUAAGUGCUUAAAAAAAUAAAUACCCCAGGCAAUGUGAUUCUAUGGGAAUUCCUGUAGUCUGUCAUUUUUCAAAUGGAUGAAUCCCCUGCUGUUCGAUUCCUUUGUACAUCUUUGUUCGCGACGAGUAACUUUAAUAAAUGAAGUAUUUUUAGUCAAAUACAUUCCAUUCUGUGAAACUUAAAACAUUUGUUCUUUAAAAAAACUUUACACAUCUAUGAAUGAUUUUACUUUUAAUUUAACAAUUACAUUGUUUCUUUUUUACACUGCUGUAGUUUUGUUUAUGUACAUUUCAGUAUUUCAUAUAUAUACUGUAAAAUUACAAAUUCUGUCUUAAAUUCAAACGAAUUGAUUCAACCUGUUACAUUGUUACUUCAAUGUGCAUAAUUUAUGAUAUUUUAUAAAUAUAUUUAUACUUGGGUCAGUAAGCAGUCCUUUAAAUGAUUUUGCAACUUACAACUGUAAAAAUGUAAGAGUUUGUAGUUAUUUUGCAAUCAAAUAAACAUUUAUUUG